CAUGCAAGUCGAACGGAAAGGCCUCUUUGGGGGUGCUCGAGUGGCGAACGGGUGAGUAACACGUGGGUGAUCUGCCCUGCACUUUGGGAUAAGCCUGGGAAACUGGGUCUAAUACCGGAUAGGACUACGAGUCGCAUGGUUCGUGGUGGAAAGCUUUUGCGGUGUGGGAUGGGCCCGCGGCCUAUCAGCUUGUUGGUGGGGUGAUGGCCUACCAAGGCGACGACGGGUAGCCGGCCUGAGAGGGUGUCCGGCCACACUGGGACUGAGAUACGGCCCAGACUCCUACGGGAGGCAGCAGUGGGGAAUAUUGCACAAUGGGCGCAAGCCUGAUGCAGCGACGCCGCGUGAGGGAUGACGGCCUUCGGGUUGUAAACCUCUUUCAACGCCGACGAAGCGGAAGUGACGGUAGGCGGAGAAGAAGCACCGGCCAACUACGUGCCAGCAGCCGCGGUAAUACGUAGGGUGCGAGCGUUGUCCGGAAUUACUGGGCGUAAAGAGCUCGUAGGUGGUUUGUCGCGUUGUUCGUGAAAACUCACA
rnacentral:rRNA from 1 species